AGGACGAACGCUGGCGGCGUGCUUAACACAUGCAAGUCGAACGGUAAGGCCUUUCGGGGUACACGAGUGGCGAACGGGUGAGUAACACGUGGGUGAUCUGCCCUGCACUUCGGGAUAAGCCUGGGAAACUGGGUCUAAUACCGGAUAUGACUACGAAUCGCAUGGUUUGUGGUGGAAAGCUUUUGCGGUGUGGGAUGGGCCCGCGGCCUAUCAGCUUGUUGGUGGGGUGAUGGCCUACCAAGGCGACGACGGGUAGCCGGCCUGAGAGGGUGUCCGGCCACACUGGGACUGAGAUACGGCCCAGACUCCUACGGGAGGCAGCAGUGGGGAAUAUUGCACAAUGGGCGCAAGCCUGAUGCAGCGACGCCGCGUGAGGGAUGACGGCCUUCGGGUUGUAAACCUCUUUCAGUAUCGACGAAGCGCAAGUGACGGUAGGUACAGAAGAAGGACCGGCCAACUACGUGCCAGCAGCCGC
rnacentral:rRNA from 1 species